rnacentral:rRNA from 1 species
GACGGAGGGCGCGAGCGUUGUUCGGAAUCAUUGGGCGUAAAGCGCGCGCAGGCGGCUUGCCAAGUCGGGAGUGAAAUCCCGGGGCUCAACCCCGGGGCGGCUCCCGAAACUGGUGGGCUAGAGACCGGUAGAGGCCGGUGGAAUUCCCGGUGUAGCGGUGGAAUGCGUAGAGAUCGGGAAGAACACCCGUGGCGAAGGCGGCCGGCUGGGCCGGAUCUGACGCUGAGGCGCGAAAGCGUGGGGAGCAAACAGG